rnacentral:tRNA from 1 species
AAGGCCUUAGUUUAGUUAAAACGCCUGGUUUGCAACUAGGAGAUGUAGAUAAGUUCUGUAGGUUUUA